rnacentral:rRNA from 1 species
AUUAAAGGCACUGCCUGCCCAGUGAUAUUAUUUUUAACGGCCGCGGUAUUCUAACCGUGCAAAGGUAGCAUAAUCACUUGUCUUUUAAAUAAAGACUAGUAUGAACGGCAAGACGAAAGCUUAACUGUCUCCUUUAUUUUAUCAAUGAAACUGAAUUUCCUGUACAAAAGCAGGAAUAAAUUAAUAAGACGAGAAGACCCUAUGGAACUUAAAACACGCAGUCACUUUAAGUUAUAUUAAAACCUGAACAUACUGUUUUUGGUUGGGGUGACCACGGAGAAUAAAAAUCCUCCGAGAUAACAAUUUUAGUAAUACAAAACAAAAAUUCAAAAUUUUGACACCAGACCCAAAAUAUUUGAUCAACGAACCAAGCUACCCUAGGGAUAACAGCGCAAUCUUCUCCAAGAGCACCUAUCGCCAAGAAGGUUUACGACCUCGAUGUUGGAUCAGGAUAUCCAGACAGUGUAGCCGCUGCCAAAGGUUUGUUUGUUCAACAAUUAAAAUCCUACGUGAUCUGAGUUCAA